AUCUCUUAAAGCUGUUCUCAGUUCGGACUGCAGUCUGCAACUCGACUGCACGAAGCUGGAAUCGCUAGUAAUCGCGGAUCAGUACGCCGCGGUGAAUACGUUCUCGGGCCUUGUACACACCGCCCGUCACACCAUGGAAGUCUGCAAUGCCCGAAGCCGGUGGCCUAACCACUUAUGUGGAAGGAGCCGUCUAAGGCAGGGCAGAUGACUGGGGUGAAGUCGUAACAAGGUAAC
rnacentral:rRNA from 1 species